rnacentral:rRNA from 1 species
UACGUAGGCAGCAAGCGUUGUUCGGAGUUACUGGGCGUAAAGAGUGCGUAGGCGGUCCUGUAAGUUUGGUGUGAAAUCUCCCGGCUCAACUGGGAGGGUGCGCCGAAGACUGCAGGGCUUGAGUAUGGGAGAGGUAAGCGGAAUUCCUGGUGUAGCGGUGAAAUGCGUAGAUAUCAGGAGGAACACCAGCGGCGAAGGCGGCGUCCUGGACUGGUACUGACGCUCAGGAGCGAAAGCGUGGGGAGCGAUCCGG